AGGAAGACAGGUUGGUGGGGGAAGAAGAGUGGUAGGGAGAGGGAGACAGGUUGGUGGGGGAAGAAGAGUGGCAGGGAGAGGGAGACAGGUUGGUGGGGAUAGAAGAGUGGCAGGGAGAGGGAGACAGGUUGGUGGGGAAAGAAGAGUGGCAGGGAGAGGGAGAAUGUGUGGAGGACAAAGGAGAGGAAGACAGGUUGGUGGGGAUAGAAGAGUGGCAGGGAGAGGGAGACAGGUUGGUGGGGAAAGAAGAGUGGCAGGGAGAGGGAGAAUGUGUGGAGGACAAAGGAGAGGAAGACCAAUAGCGAUGGUCUCUGAUGAGA
ensembl:lncRNA